GGACCCGCACAAGUAGUGGAGCAUGUGGUUUAAUUCGAAGAUACGCGCAGAACCUUACCAACACUUGACAUGUUUGUCGCGACUCUAAGAGAUUGGAGUUUUCGGUUCGGCCGGACAAAACACAGGUGCUGCAUGGCUGUCGUCAGCUCGUGUCGUGAGAUGUUGGGUUAAGUCCCGCAACGAGCGCAACCCUCACUUUUAGUUGCCAGCAUUAAGUUGGGCACUCUAGAGAGACUGCCCGGGUUAACCGGGAGGAAGGUGGGGAUGACGUCAAGUCCUCAUGGCCCUUAUGCCUAGGGCUACACACGUAAUACAAUGGUACAUACAAAGGGAAGCGACCCAGUGAUGGUAAGCAAAUCUCAAAAAGUGUAAUCUCAGUCCGGAUUGGAGUCUGCAACUCGACUCCAUG
rnacentral:rRNA from 1 species